ensembl:rRNA 5S_rRNA 5S ribosomal RNA
UCUCACAACCUAAGCAGAUUUGACUCUGAUUAGUAUUUGGAUGGACGACCCACUGAAAGAAGUGUGGUGUGGGAG